GAAUAUGGGGGGACCAUCCUCCAAGGCUAAAUACUCCUGACUGACCGAUAGUGAACCAGUACCGUGAGGGAAAGGCGAAAAGAACCCCGGCGAGGGGAGUGAAAAAGAACCUGAAACCGUGUACGUACAAGCAGUGGGAGCCCCACCACCAAAGCAUUCUCUGGUGUUGAAGGCCCUGCAAAGCAGCAUCGCGGUGGCGGAGCGUCGUUUGCGACGCCCAACACACAAAACAAGCGGUGAGUGCUUUGGGGUGGGGUGACUGCGUACCUUUUGUAUAAUGGGUCAGCGACUUAUAUUCUGUAGCAAGGUUAACCGUAUAGGGGAGCCGUAGGGAAACCGAGUCUUAACCGGGCGUUAAGUUGCAGGGUAUAGACCCGAAACCCGGUGAUCUAGCCAUGGGCAGGUUGAAGGUUGGGUAACACUAACUGGAGGACCGAACCGACUAAUGUUGAAAAAUUAGCGGAUGACCUGUGGCUGG
rnacentral:rRNA from 1 species